rnacentral:rRNA from 1 species
AGUGAACGCUGGCGGUAGGCCUAACACAUGCAAGUCGAACGGCAGCACAGUAAGAGCUUGCUCUUACGGGUGGCGAGUGGCGGACGAGUGAGGAAUACAUCGGAAUCUACUUUUUCGUGGGGGAUAACGUAGGGAAACUUACGCUAAUACCGCAUACGACCUACGGGUGAAAGCAGGGGAUCUUCGGACCUUGCGCGAUUGAAUGAGCCGAUGUCGGAUUAGCUAGUUGGCGGGGUAAAGGCCCACCAAGGCGACGAUCCGUAGCUGGUCUGAGAGGAUGAUCAGCCACACUGGAACUGAGACACGGUCCAGACUCCUACGGGAGGCAGCAGUGGGGAAUAUUGGACAAUGGGCGCAAGCCUGAUCCAGCCAUACCGCGUGGGUGAAGAGGGCCUUCGGGUUGUAAAGCCCUUUUGUUGGGAAAGAAAAGCAGCAGGUUAAUACCCCGCUGUUCUGACGGUACCCAAAGAAUAAGCACCGGCUAACUUCGUG